UUCCGGUUGAUCCUGCCGGACCCGACUGCUAUUUGGGUGAGGAUAAGCCAUGCGAGUUGUGAUACCUAAAUUCCGCAAACUGCUCAGUAACACAUGAUCAACUUGCCCUAUAGAGAAAAAUAACCUCGGGAAACUGAGGAUAAUGUUUCAUAGCUGAAUUGGCUUGGAAAAGUUUUUCAGUCAAAAGGUAAAAUGCUAUAGGAUAGGAUCGUGGUCGAUUAGGUUGUUGGCGAGGUAAUGGCUCACCAAGCCGAUAAUCGAUAGGGGCCGUGAGAGCGGGAGCCCCGAGAUGGGUACUGAGACAACGACCCAGGCCUUACGAGGCGCAGCAGGCGCGAAACCUCCGCAAUACACGAAAGUGUGACGGGGUUACCCAAAGUGUUCAAUUUUGAAUGUGGUAGGUCCCCAGAGUAAUGUUCCCUACUAGAAAGGAGAGGGCAAGGUCUGGUGCCAGCCGCCGCGGUAAAACCAGCUCUUCAAGUGGUCGGGAUAAUUAUUGGGCUUAAAGUGUCCGUAGCCGGUCGGGUAAGUUCCUGGUAAAAGCUGGCAGCUUAACUGUCAAUAUGCUAGGAAUACCGCCCGACUAGAGGGCGGGAAAGGUCCGAGGUACUCCAGGGGUAGGGGUGAAAUCCAUUGAUCCUUGGGGGACCACCAGUGGCGAAGGCGUCGGACUGGAACGCGCCUGACGGUGAGGGACGAAAGCCAGGGGAGCGAACCGGAUUAGAUACCCGGGUAGUCCCAGCUGUAAACGAUGCGGGCUAGGUGUAAGGGCAGCUACGAGCUGCUCUUGUGCCGCAGAGAAAUUGUUAAGCCCGCCGCCUGGGGAGUACGAUCGCAAGAUUGAAACUUAAAGGAAUUGGCGGGGGAGCACUACCAGGGGUGGAUGCUGCGGUUUAAUUGGAUUCAACGCCGGA
rnacentral:rRNA from 1 species